GAUGAGGGUUUUCGGAUCGUAAAGCUCUGUUUUAGGGAAGAACAAGUGCAAGAGUAACUGCUUGCACCUUGACGGUACCUACCCAGAAAGCCACGGCUAACUACGUGCCAGCAGCCGCGGUAAUACGUAGGUGGCAAGCGUUGUCCGGAAUUAUUGGGCGUAAAGGGCUCGCAGGCGGUUUCUUAAGUCUGAUGUGAAAGCCCCCGGCUCAACCGGGGAGGGUCAUUGGAAACUGGGAAACUUGAGUGCAGAAGAGGAGAGUGGAAUUCCACGUGUAGCGGUGAAAUGCGUAGAGAUGUGGAGGAACACCAGUGGCGAAGGCGACUCUCUGGUCUGUAACUGACGCUGAGGAGCGAAAGCGUGGGGAGCGAACAGGAUUAGAUACCCUGGUAGUCCACGCCGUAAACGAUGAGUGCUAAGUGUUAGGGGGUUUCCGCCCCUUAGUGCUGCAGCUAACGCAUUAAGCACUCCGCCUGGGGAGUACGGUCGCAAGACUGAAACUCAAAGGAAUUGACGGGGGCCCGCACAAGCGGUGGAGCAUGUGGUUUAAUUCGAAGCAACGCGAAGAACCUUACCAGGUCUUGACAUCCUCUGACAACCCUAGAGAUAGGGCUUUCCCUUCGGGGACAGAGUGACAGGUGGUGCAUGGUUGUCGUCAGCUCGUGUCGUGAGAUGUUGGGUUAAGUCCCGCAACGAGCGCAACCCUUGAUCUUAGUUGCCAGCAUUCAGUUGGGCACUCUAAGGUGACUGCCGGUGACAAACCGGAGGAAGGUGGGGAUGACGUCAAAUCAUCAUGCCCCUUAUGACCUGGGCUACACACGUGCUACAAUGGACAGAACAAAGGGCUGCGAGACCGCAAGGUUUAGCCAAUCCCACAAAUCUGUUCUCAGUUCGGAUCGCAGUCUGCAACUCGACUGCGUGAAGCUGAAUCGCUAGUAUCGCGA
rnacentral:rRNA from 1 species